ensembl:lncRNA
AGGUAAGGAUUCACACCUGUCGGUCUCCUAAAUCUCUGCCUGCAGGGCCCCAUGGAAAUGAGAAUGGACUGAAUUUUUGGUUUAAAGCAUGGAACCAUGGAACAAUCUAUGGAAAAAAGAAGCAUGGAACAAUCAAUAACUCAGCUACUAGCCUAAUUCUUGCUUCACAGCUACCAGCUCAACUUGGGACACCUGUUACAUCCCUGGUCCAAAAAGAUCCCACAUGCUGCAGGGCAACUAGGCCCACGCCACCACCACGGAGCCCACAUGCCACAACUGUGGAAGACCAUGCUCUGUAAUAAGAGAGGCCACUGCAGUGGGAGCCCGUGCGCCACAGACUGACAGCCGACCAUGCUGAGAAAGCCCGCAUGCAGCAAUGAAGACCCAGCAUAGAAA